GACGUAGGGUGCAAGCGUUGUCCGGAUUUAUUGGGCGUAAAGAGCUCGUAGGCGGCCUGUCGCGUCGACCGUGAAAACCCGCAGCUCAACUGCGGGCUUGCGGUCGAUACGGGCAGGCUGGAGUUCGGUAGGGGAGACUGGAAUUCCUGGUGUAGCGGUGAAAUGCGCAGAUAUCAGGAGGAACACCGGUGGCGAAGGCGGGUCUCUGGGCCGAUACUGACGCUGAGGAGCGAAAGCGUGGGGAGCGAACAGG
rnacentral:rRNA from 1 species